rnacentral:lncRNA from 1 species
UGAUUGUUGUGGGCAUCAGAAAACCUUCUACCUGGAAUUAUUGGAAACCUCUAUAAAAUUAUAAGAGAUUUCAGGGUACACAGGGAGCUCAAACAGUCAUUUGCCAACUAUAAAAUAUUCUCCACCAAACAAUGAUGUGCAGAGGCUUAUUAAUCCAAGGCAGACAAAUCAUCCACUUUAUAAAUUAAAAUAAGAGGAAAUAUCCUUUUGUGCUGUCUAUGUGCAAAUUAUCAUAUCAGGCAUAAGAAUAUAGGAGUAGCUAAUAAACACAAUGUGAUCUUCGCAUAAAAGUAUGACCAUCGAUGUUUAGGGUUUGGAGCAUUGCUCAAGGAGGCGAUGACUCAUUUGGUGGCCUCAGUUGGUGUGCUGAAUGGCAGUGGUUCUUCUGACUGCUGUAGCUCUAGAAGACAGAGUGCGGUCAAAGAGCAAAAACAGAGAAAUGAAAGGGAAGGGAGUGAAGAGAAAGUGGCAUGAUAGGACUGGUCAAACUGGUGCUGCCUGGAGUGGAGCUCUGUUAUCCUCAGACCACUUGUGUCUACUUGCAUUGACCUUUCUCCACCAGGAAGUACUACCCGUGUUUCUUGUGCACUCAACAUCUCCUAUAAUCUCGUAUAAUCUCCCAAUGCCUCACAAUCACAGGCCUACACGUAUCGUCUCUAUCUCCCAAUCUCCCAUUGUGUAAGUGUAACCAUGCAGGUAGCAUGAAGCAUACAACUUCUGAGAAGCUAACCCUUGCGAUUCUUACGAGUAGGGAGCUUCAAGCUUUGUAGUAUUGCUCUUACAGACGACUAUUAAUAUUGCUCUGCGCCAG